CUGCGUGACUGGCGGGCAAGAGGGCGGCCCCCUUUCCGGCCGCGCCCCGUUUCGCGGGACGAAGGGCUCUCCGCACCGGACCCCGGUCCCGACACGCGGUGGGGCGCGCGCCCGCCGGC